UCCGGAAACGGGUGCUAAUACCGCAUAGGAAGUUUAUUCGCAUGAACAAACUUAGAAAGAUGGCUCUGCUAUCACUUAUCGAUGGCCUUGCGGUGCAUUAACUAGUUGGCGAGGUAACGGCUCACCAAGGUGAUGAUGCAUAGCCCGACCCCUGAGAGGGUAAUCGGCCACAUUGGGACUGAGACACGGCCCAAACUCCUACGGGAGGCAGCAGUAGGGAAUCUUCCGCAAUGGACGCAAGUCUGACGGAGCAACGCCGCGUGAGUGAAGAAGGUUUUCGGAUCGUAAAACUCUGUUGUAAGAGAAGAACAAAAUUGUAGAGUAACUGCUACAGUCUUGACGGUAUCUUACCAGAAAGCCACGGCUAACUACGUGCCAGCAGCCGCGGUAAAU
rnacentral:rRNA from 1 species